AAAUGGAGGCGAUGGUCCCUUCUUAUUCCACUCUUUUGUCCACUCGGUAUCAAUCCAAUAGUUCCUUUCUCCUUUAAUUUUUUUAAUUUUUAUCUUCUUUCUUUUAGCUCUUUGAUAUUUAUACCCUUUUAAUUUUAAUCAUUGUCUAGUACGUUUUCUUGCUUGAUCAUUUUUUAGAGGAGAAGGUUUUUUUUCUCUCUUAAAUAUCGAUAAACUAUGUCUUUCUGAUUUUAAGUUUUCUAGCUUUG
rnacentral:lncRNA from 1 species